GACGAACGCUGGCGGCGUGCCUAAUACAUGCAAGUAGAACGCUGAAGGAGGAGCUUGCUCUUCUGGAUGAGUUGCGAACGGGUGAGUAACGCGUAGGUAACCUGCCUGGUAGCGGGGGAUAACUAUUGGAAACGAUAGCUAAUACCGCAUAAUAGUAGAUGCUGCAUGAUAUUUACUUAAAAGGUGCAAUUGCACCACUACCAGAUGGACCUGCGUUGUAUUAGCUAGUUGGUGGGGUAACGGCUCACCAAGGCGACGAUACAUAGCCGACCUGAGAGGGGGAUCGGCCACACUGGGACUGAGACACGGCCCAGACUCCUACGGGAGGCAGCAGUAGGGAAUCUUCGGCAAUGGACGAAAGUCUGACCGAGCAACGCCGCGUGAGUGAAGAAGGUUUUCGGAUCGUAAAGCUCUGUUGUAAGAGAAGAACGAGUGUGAGAGUGGAAAGUUCACACUGUGACGGUAUCUUACCAGAAAGGGACGGCUAACUACGUG
rnacentral:rRNA from 1 species